ACAGAUGUCAGUCAGAUGAAGACAGACAGCAGCAGCAUCUGUCAGUGUCUGCUGAUGAAGGGACGACGUCUCUUUGACCUCAUCUGAACGGGACUUUAACAGGGUAGCAGCCUGACAGGACAGCCAC